rnacentral:rRNA from 1 species
CCUACGGGAGGCUGCAGUGGGGAAUAUUGGACAAUGGGGGGAACCCUGAUCCAGCCAUGCCGCGUGUGUGAAGAAGGCUUCGGGUUGUAAAGCACUUUCAGUGAGGAAGAACGCCUGGUGGUUAAUACCCAUCAGGAAAGACAUCACUCACAGAAGAAGCACCGGCUAACUCCGUGCCAGCAGCCGCGGUAAUACGGAGGGUGCGAGCGUUAAUCGGAAUUACUGGGCGUAAAGCGCGCGUAGGUGGCUUGAUAAGCCGGUUGUGAAAGCCCCGGGCUCAACCUGGGAACGGCAUCCGGAACUGUCAAGCUAGAGUGCAGGAGAGGAAGGUAGAAUUCCCGGUGUAGCGGUGAAAUGCGUAGAGAUCGGGAGGAAUACCAGUGGCGAAGGCGGCCUUCUGGACUGACACUGACACUGAGGUGCGAAAGCGUGGGUAGCAAACAGGAUUAGAUACCCUGGUAGUC